UAUUUUGGUCCUAGAUAUGCUGUUAUUUAUGGCUAGAAAUAUACAUGCCAGCCUCCGCACCCCAGUGAAAACGCCCACACAUGGUUGCCCCACAUGUGGAGCAGGUAUCAGGCACGAAUUUAAGUACCAGCCCAAAACACCUAGCUCUGCCACACCCCCACUGGGCCCCAGCAGUAAAAAACACUAAGCACAUAAGCCAAACGCUUGACUUGGUAAUAGCCAUUACGGGCCGGUAAACCACGUGCCAGCCACCGCGGUUACACGUGGGGCCCAAAACAACAAACAACGGCGUAAAGGGUGACUAAAGAAAAAGUUUAUUAUUGGGCCUAGAAACUAUAAUAUAGCUGUAAAAUGCCAUGUGCUAUUAGUAAAAACCAUGGGCCUAAACAUAACAAUCUUGACUCACGAAAACUAAGACCCAAACUAGGAUUAGAUACCCUACUAUGCUUAGUCGUAAACCAGCAAUCUUCCACGCUCGCCAGAAAAUUACAAGCAACCGGCUUAAAAUUCAAAAGACUUGACAGUAUUUCAUAUCAACCUAGAGGAGCCUGUCCUAAAAUCGAUAACCCACGAUCAACCUCACCCGCCUUUGCAAUAACAGCCUAUAUACCUCCGUCGCCAGCCCGCCUGAAAACAGAAAAAUAGCGAGUGCAACAACUAAUCGUUAAUACGACAGGUCACGGUGUAGCUUAUACGCGGGGCAGAGAUGGGCUACAUUUCUUAAUAUAAUAAAUACCUACCCCGCCAUGAAAUCUGCGGAACAAGGUGGAUUUAGCAGUAAGUUAGGCAAGAAAGCCUAUCUGAAGCGCGCUCUGAAAUGUGC
rnacentral:ncRNA from 1 species